AAAAGAUAUUACUUACUUAAAAUGAUUAAAACGUUUAAAAUAAAUACAUUUCUUGGAAAUUUCUCGUCAGUCAUUUAGCUUACAACGAAAGCGUAAAGACGGAUUUUCGCGAAUUUUUUCAUCUCGCUUGAACGAGAAUUUAAGAUAUUUUUAAUUCAGCACCUCGCUGAUUUGUCGGUCACAAAGGGGUUGGAAAAAAUAAUCAAUUAGAGUAGUUUCAAUGUUGAUCGAGUUAAAUUUAAUAAUUACUAUAGCAAUUAGCACGGUUAUUCAAUAAACAUUAAUGUUAUGGUUACACAGAUAUUUAUUAUUUUCCGAGAAAUGAAAAAUAAAAAUAUUUGAAAUUAACUCGAAACAUAUUGAAACUUCUCCCUUUGGAAUUCGUUCGGUCCCUUUGUAGUACGUCGAGGGGUUGAGUCGUAGUAAUUAAAUUUGAAACAAAUACGUAUCUUCUCGUGCAAUAGACCAAUUAGCAGUGUAUACAAUUAAAUAUAUCAUAAUUUCUCGUUUAAAUGCUUCCGUGCUAUUAACACGUUUGAAAGUCAUUUAGUCGAUACGUUCUCGUUAGAAAUUUGUUUUUCGAACGCCAUGUCAGAAUGCAAAUCUAUUUCGUAAAUCGCCCACACUUGUUUUCAUUGUAUAUCGUUUAAUUAUAAUACAUGUAUACUAUCACAUUACCGUAUUAUCUUAGUAAACAAAUCGAAAUCGUGAAAAAAAAAAAAAACCAACUUAUUAAUAUUUUUGUUUUUGUUUUCAGACAAGACUACGGCAAUCGGAGAGGUUCACGGGUAAUUUUAUUUUACGAUAGUAUAUUUAUACGAGUAGAUAUAGGUACCUGUAUAAAAUAACAUAACAAAAUAAAAAAAAAAAAAAAAAAAAAAAAAAAAAAACAGAAUAUUAAAAAUAACGAUCGAAAAAAGAAGUGCC